CCGCGAGGCAAAGUGAACAGGAAAGCAGCUGGGUCAUGAGGUUGGUGCAGACGGAACAGCCUAGCCUGUCCCUGCCCUGUGAGCUGGGUGAGCGGACACUCAUCCGUGAGAACAAACAUGAGUGGCAGCAGUCAAUGGUCAGUAGGGUGAUGCUGCCGCUGAGCAGGGCUGUGAAGAUCCCUUCUGUGAGCUGUUAGCGUUUCCUUCCUCGCUGAGGAACUCUGUGCUGUAAAAGCCCACUCUCCACAACUCUGCUGGUUGACCUCUUCUGGGUAAGA